ACUGCUCGAGCUGCUUCCGCGGCGAGAGCG
rnacentral:snRNA from 1 species